rnacentral:rRNA from 1 species
UACGUAGGGCGCAAGCGUUGUCCGGAAUUAUUGGGCGUAAAGAGCUCGUAGGCGGCUUGUCGCGUCGGAUGUGAAAGCCCGGGGCUUAACUCCGGGUCUGCAUUCGAUACGGGCAGGCUAGAGUUCGGUAGGGGAGAUCGGAAUUCCUGGUGUAGCGGUGAAAUGCGCAGAUAUCAGGAGGAACACCGGUGGCGAAGGCGGGUCUCUGGGCCGAUACUGACGCUGAGGAGCGAAAGCGUGGGGAGCGAACAGG